rnacentral:rRNA from 1 species
AUGGCGCAUGAUGAAGGAUCUGUUCCUUCCAAUGAACUAUCAAUUUGUCAGUUAGCUGAGCGGCAUCUAUAUGAGCCUAAUACUAGUGAAGAGGUCAACCUAGUGAUCAAACAGCAAGUGCUCGCACAUGCGAAUUUGACGCGCCAUCCUCGUGGUUGGAAUGUGGGGUCUACUCUUAGUGACUAUUCUUUUCAUCCACUAGCACCUUAUCCUAAACCUGAUCAUGAAGCCUACACCCUAGGGACCAGGAUGGUAGCAAAAGGUCUAGGUUGGGAUGGUCACACAGUCGAGUAUGUCCCGCAACCCAAAGGCUAUGUUGAAUGGGGCAUCUCUAUAUUGAAUAACUACUCGUUUUGUUUGAAAGGAGAAGCGGAGGACACCGAUUACAUAUAUGGGGCCAUUUAUUGCUCCCUCGGUGAAUAUGAAGUUUCAGAUUCGCUACUAAGGAUUAGUAUGCACCCCGUCGCUCCCUCUUAUGAGAAAAGGAUUUGGCCAGUGCAUUAUAUCGCAUGGUGGAUGGGUCUUUAUCUAAGAAAACCAUUUAAGGACAAAGUGAAAGGGAAACAUCUUCCAGAUGUUAAGCAAUUGCCGAUGCAACCAACCAUGGUUAAAACUAUGUUUCGGGUUCCCAUAACUUUCAGUCCUGCUAGGGCACGCAUUUUCUUUGAUGACCGAGCCAAUAUUUUUUGGAAUCCUUAUACUCCAAAGAACUUAGUCGGGGUGGAUCAGUUGCAAAGGUCCUUCACCAUUUCUUCACAUCGGGGUAUGCUUCCAUGGAGGCGUGCUACUGAUGUUGAUGAUCUUUGCAUAGCGGAGCCAUAUCAUCCUGAUCGAGUUGCACGACAACUUACUUUGAGACAACAAGUGCCCUAUGCUCCGUUGGUCAGCUUGUACACAAAGGAGGAUACUGGUGUUACAUAUGUGUAUUGGUCGCAUUUGUUACGCUCGGACCAAGGGGAUUUCCAGUACCUUCUUAAUGAUGCGCAUGAGGCAUUUUCUUCUGUGGCCUGGAACAACUGGUGGGUGGGAUUUAUGAAACCAUUUAACAACAUAUUCAAUACUCUUCGUCCGGGCAUCUCGAAUGGUUCGAAUUAUAAUCCGCGGAAACAUAAUUUUCUGAAACAUGGAGAGGAGUACAUAGUUCCUCGCAAGCUUUCAGAGAAUGAUUUUGUCGUUAUCAAGGAAGUCUCCGCCCGGGGUAGGGAGGAACAUAUUGCAGCCAUCAAAUUGAAUGGAAAGAGAAUUAUGGACCACUGGCGUCCCAUUUUGUGUGGCUUUCUCACAAAUGAUGAACCUUUAAUCAACUCUAAAAAGAAGAAGCGAAAGGUUAAGGUUGCUGUUGCUACUCAACUCAUGAAAUCUAAAGAGCAAAGUGGCGUACCAAAUUCUGUUGUUGUAGUUGGUUCUUCCUCUACUUAUCCAUUGCUAGUGGGUAGUGAUGAUCUUCCGACAACUGCCCCGGCCACCGGCGGACAGAAGCCUAGAAAUUUAUCGCCCACUCAUGCUGACGAGGAAGAGAUGCUCCUCCUCAAGCGCAAACUUGAUUUGUCCCAAGAAUAUGAUUUUUCUGAACCAAUAACCUUGGACGGUCCGUCAUUAGAUGCCGAACUCAGUAGCUUUAUUAAUGAUGAAGAUUUUGGCCAUGUUCUCACGAGAGAAAAGGACCAUGGCCUUGGUGACCUCUUCAAUUUAUCCGUCGAGGAUUAUACCAUUGGCAAGCGUGGCAGAAGUCAUCCACCUUCCAGCCCGGGACUGGACGACUCUACCCUUGGUGAUCCUGAGAGACGCAUCAUGCUUGAGAGUGUUUCUCAAAUGCUGCCCACGCAAGUGCCUGAGGUAGCGAAGGUGCAGGCCAUUUUGGUCAGGCUUAUUGACCUUUCCAAGAAGUUGGAGGGCGGCCAGACCGAAUUCACGACGGAAUCCGAGCGAGAUGAACAUGUUGUUGCCGAAGUAGAACUUAAGAUUAAGUCUGGCCAUGAGGUUUCCAAGACCAUAAUUGAGGACUUAUCUGCCGUAGAAAAGAAGUGCGCUGAAAUGGAGGCGCGGGCAGCAGAGCUGAAGGCCCAGCUUGAAGAGGUUACUGCUACUUUGCACAAGCUUAAAUUGGAAAUGGAACAACGCCAACAAGCACAUGAUGCCCAUCAAUCUGAUCAGAAGGAGUUAGUGAAGAGUCUACAGGAUACCAAUGCUGGCAAACGUACAAGGCUUGCUGAAUUUAAACGAAAGACAACGGAUUUAAAGACCGAAGCAAGUCAGCUGUUGAACAACCUGCAGAAUGGCGAGCUCUUUGAGAGGGCGUAG